AACACAUGCCAGUCCGAGCGGAAACGAUCCUAGCUUGCUAGGAGGCGUCGAGCGGCGGACGGGUGAGUAACGCGUGAGAAUCUACCCAUGAGUGGGGGACAACCCGGGGAAACUCGGGCUAAUACCGCAUACGCCCUACGGGGUAAAGCAGGGGACCUUCGGGCCUUGCGCUGAUGGAUGAGCUCGCUGUCGGAUUAGCUUGUUGGUGAGGUAAAGGCUCACCAAGGCGACGAUCCUGUAGCUGGUCUGAGAGGAUGAUCAGCCACACCGGGACUGAGACACUGGCCCGGACUCCUACGGGAGGCAGCAGUGGGGAAUCUUGGACAAUGGGGGCAACCCUGAUCCAGCCAUGCCGCGUGUGUGAAGAAGGCCUUCGGGUUGUAAAGCACUUUCAGCAGGGAGGAAGGCUUACCCCUAAUACGGGUGAGUACUUGACGUUACCUGCAGAAGAAGCACCGGCUAAUUUCGUGCCAGCAGCCGCGGUAAUACUAAAGGUGCAAGCGUUAAUCGGAAUUCUGGGCGUAAAGCGCGCGUAGGCGGUGUGUUAAGUCGGAUGUGAAACCCAGGCUCACCUUGGAAUUGCAUCCCAUCUGGCACGCUAAGUGCAGUA
rnacentral:rRNA from 1 species